rnacentral:rRNA from 1 species
ACACCGGCAGCUCAAGUGGUAGCCGCUUUUAUUGGGCCUAAAGCGUCCGUAGCCGGUCUGAUAAGUCUCUGGUGAAAUCCCGCAGCUUAACUGUGGGAAUUGCUGGAGAUCCUAUCAUGACUCGAGGUCGGGAGAGGCUGGAGGUACUCCCAGGGUAGGGGUGAAAUCCUGUAAUCCUGGGAGGAACACCUGUGGGGAAGGCGUCCAGCUGGAACGAACCUGACGGUGAGGGACGAAAGCCAGGGGCGCGAACCGGAUUAGAUACCCGGGUAGUCCUGGCCGUAAACGAUGUGGACUUGGUGUUGGGAUGGCUUCGAGCUGCCCCAGUGCCGAAGGGAAGCUGUUAAGUCCACCGCCUGGGAAGUACGGCCGCAAGGCUGAAACUCAAAGGAAUUGGCGGG